rnacentral:rRNA from 1 species
UACAGAGGGGGCAAGCGUUGUUCGGAAUUACUGGGCGUAAAGGGCGCGUAGGCGGCCUUCUAAGUCGAACGUGAAAUCCCCGGGCUCAACCCGGGAACUGCGUCCGAUACUGGAAGGCUUGAAUCCGGGAGAGGGAUGUGGAAUUCCAGGUGUAGCGGUGAAAUGCGUAGAUAUCUGGAGGAACACCGGUGGCGAAGGCGACAUCCUGGACCGGUAUUGACGCUGAGGCGCGAAAGCCAGGGGAGCAAAGCG